GUGCUCACUUAGGCAGCACAUAUACUAACAUUGGAAUGCUACAGAGAAGAUUAGCACGGCCCCUGUGCACUGAUAACAUGCACAUUCAUGAAGCGUUCCAUAUUUUU
ensembl:snRNA U6 U6 spliceosomal RNA